AACGAACGCUGGCGGCAGGCCUAACACAUGCAAGUCGAGCGAGAUCUUCGGGUCUAGCGGCGGACGGGUGAGUAACGCGUGGGAAUAUGCCUCUUGGUACGGAAUAGCCUCGGGAAACUGGGAGUAAUACCGUAUGUGCCCUUUGGGGGAAAGAUUUAUCGCCAAGGGAUUAGCCCGCGUUGGAUUAGGUAGUUGGUGGGGUAAUGGCCUACCAAGCCGACGAUCCAUAGCUGGUUUGAGAGGAUGAUCAGCCACACUGGGACUGAGACACGGCCCAGACUCCUACGGGAAGCAGCAGUGGGGAAUCUUAGACAAUGGGGGCAACCCUGAUCUAGCCAUGCCGCGUGAGUGAUGAAGGCCUUAGGGUUGUAAAGCUCUUUCAGCUGGGAAGAUAAUGACGGUACCAGCAGAAGAAGCCCCGGCUAACUCCGUG
rnacentral:rRNA from 1 species